GAUGAACGCUAGCGAUAGGCUUAACACAUGCAAGUCGAGGGGCAGCAUGAUCUUAGCUUGCUAAGGUCGAUGGCGACCGGCGCACGGGUGCGUAACGCGUAUGCAACUUGCCUUACAGAGGGGGAUAACCCGUUGAAAGACGGACUAAAACCGCAUACACUUGUAUUAUUGCAUGAUAUUACAAGGAAAUAUUUAUAGCUGUAAGAUAGGCAUGCGUCCCAUUAGCUGGUUGGUGAGGUAACGGCUCACCAAGGCGACGAUGGGUAGGGGAACUGAGAGGUUUAUCCCCCACACUGGUACUGAGACACGGACCAGACUCCUACGGGAGGCAGCAGUGAGGAAUAUUGGUCAAUGGGCGAGAGCCUGAACCAGCCAAGUCGCGUGAAGGAAGACAGUCCUAAGGAUUGUAAACUUCUUUUAUACGGGAAUAACGGGCGAUACGAGUAUUGCAUUGA
rnacentral:rRNA from 1 species